rnacentral:rRNA from 1 species
CAAUAGCGUAUACGCUCGUUGUUGCAGUUAAAAAGCUCGUAGUUGGAUUUCUGUGGAAGUUGAUCCUCCCGCCUUUUGGCGUGCGAGAGAUGAAUUUUCACUUUUUCCCGGGGAGCAUCCUGUACUUGAUUGUGGGGUAGGAUCCGGGACUUUUACUUUGAGAAAAUUAGAGUGUUUCAAGCAAGCGAUCGCCUUGAAUACUGCAGCAUGGAAUAAUUUGAUAGGACAUUGAUUCUAUUUUAUUGGUUUUCAGAAUUGAUGUAAUGGUUAAUAGGGACAGUUGGGGGCAUUCGUACUUCACAGUCAGAGGUGAAAUUCUUGGAUUUGUGAAUGACGAACUACUGCGAAAGCAUCUGCCAAGGAUGUUUUCAUUA